rnacentral:rRNA from 1 species
CGUAGGCGCAAGCGUUAUCCGGAAUUAUUGGGCGUAAAGAGCUUGUAGGCGGUUCGUCGCGUCUGGUGUGAAAGCCCAUCGCUUAACGGUGGGUUUGCGCCGGGUACGGGCGGGCUAGAGUGCAGUAGGGGAGACUGGAAUUCUCGGUGUAACGGUGGAAUGUGUAGAUAUCGGGAAGAACACCAAUGGCGAAGGCAGGUCUCUGGGCUGUUACUGACGCUGAGAAGCGAAAGCGUGGGGAGCGAACAGGAUU